AAAGGAGCUUCAGUUGAGGAAAUGCCUCCAUGAGAUCCAGCUGUAAGGCAUUUUCUCAAUUAGUGAU
ensembl:miRNA predicted gene, 25297